rnacentral:miRNA from 1 species
CUCCCUCCGUUCCAAAUUGAAUG